CCGUGCAAAGGUAGCAUAAUCACUUGCCUAUUAAUUGUAGGCUAGAAUGAAUGGAUAAACGUAAUAAAUACUGUCUCAAUUAUUAUAAUAUAAAUUAACAUUUACACGAAGAGUGGUAAAUAAGUUCGAAGGACAAGAAGACCCUAUAGAGCUUUAUUUUUAAUAAGAAAUCUAAUCUUACAGAAAUUCGGUUGGGGCGACCGGGGGCAACUUAGUAAAUAUAACACCCCCUAAGUAAAAGAUAAAUUAAUCAUAAAAGUGACCCUAAAAAGAUCAUAAAAACAAGCUACCUUAGGGAUAACAGGCUAAUCCUAUUUAAGAGUUCAUAUCUACAAUAGGGUUUGGCACCUCGAUGUUGGCUUAGGGAAUCAUUUUAGCGCAAAAGUUAAGAAAAGAUGGUUUGUUCAACCAAUAACCCCU
rnacentral:rRNA from 1 species